rnacentral:rRNA from 1 species
GGCCUACCAUGGUGGUAACGGGUAACGGGGUGUUAGGGCACGACACCGGAGAGGGAGCCUGAGAAACGGCUACCACAUCCAAGGAAGGCAGCAGGCGCGCAAAUUACCCAAUCCCGACACGGGGAGGUAGUGACAAUAAAUAACAAUACGGGGUUCUUUCGGAUUUCGUAAUUGGAAUGAGUACAAUUUAAAUCUCUUAACGAGGAACAAUUGGAGGGCAAGUCUGGUGCCAGCAGCCGCGGUAAUUCCAGCUCCAAUAGCGUAUAUUAAAGUUGCUGCAGUUAAAAAGCUCGUAGUUGAAUUUCGGGACCUUCAUGUCGGUCGUGCCUCGGUACGUACUGGCAUUGUUGGUUUCUCCCUUCUGACGAACCAUGAUGUCAUUUAUUUGGUGUUGUGGGGAAUCAGGACUGUUACUUUGAAAAAAUUAGAGUGUUUAAAGCAGGCUCACGCUUGAAUACAUUAGCAUGGAAUAAUGAAAUAGGACGUUUGAUUCUAUUUUGUUGGUUUCUAGGAUCGACGUAAUGAUUAAUAGGGAUAGUUGGGGGCAUUAGUAUUCAAUUGUCAGAGGUGAAAUUCUUGGAUUUAUUGAAGACUAACUACUGCGAAAGCAUUUGCCAAGGAUGUUUUCAUUAAUCAAGAACGAAAGUUAGGGGAUCGAAGACGAUCAGAUACCGUCGUAGUCUUAACCAUAAACUAUGCCGACUAGGGAUCGGAUGAUGUUAAUUUUUUAAUGACUCAUUCGGCGCCUUACG